GCAUGGUCGUUCUUAGUUGGUGGAGUGAUUUGUCUGGNUAAUUCCGNUNACGAACGAGACCUCAACUUAUUAACUAGUCUCCGCAAUCUUCUACAUGGGAGAAGUCGCUCGACAACCUUCAGCCUGGGGCAACUCAGGUUGAAGGCCCUGCGAUGGAUCCUUGAAGUUUUGUGGGGUUACUUCUCUAAAAGGACUGUCUGCGUCUAGCGGAAGGAGGUGAGGCAAUAACAGGUCUGUGAUGCCCUUAGUAUGUCCGAGGCUGCACGCGCGUUACACUGAUGGAAUGAUCGAGUUUUUCUCCCGGUCUGAAGGGACUGGGGAAUCUUGUGAAANNUCAUCGUGACAGGGANCGAUCAUUGCAAUUAGUGGG
rnacentral:rRNA from 1 species